AGUGUACCUUCUGGCUGUGCCUUAUGGAACAGUUUGGGAAUUUUGUUUGUAGGCAAAGUGUUAAAGAAAUUUUUCUUGAACCGUCCGUACGAGAAGACGAGCGUCCGCUUCGAUCCGCGAUAACGCGCCACGCAGCCUGCAACCCGACCAACACGGCCGCUGGACCUGGUUGCUGUAUCUCAUUGCAAAUCCACUCAGUGACCCCUAUCAAUGGUGAAACCUCUGCACGAGGGGAGCUGAAAGGCCUACUUCUGGCAGCUGUAGGAACAGGAGGAAGAGGCCGUGUAACUUCUCCACCAGCUCGUUCACGGAAUUCUCCGUUUCGCUCGAAAAGCUCCGAAUAAACUAGCGCGUUCCGACGUUUCUCCGUUUAACCCUCAACGUGUCGCGGGAUCUCGUCGUUUCCCUUCAUUCCGGAUGAUUUGCUGGCUCGUCGAGCCACACGCGGGUCGAUCUAAUCUCCAAUCAAAGUCUAACCUUCAUCCAGCUUGUCACAAGCAUAAACAUACGUUGUAUAUUCAUAUUUAUACGAACGUAAUUAAAAAACAAAAAGAAC
rnacentral:misc_RNA from 1 species